rnacentral:rRNA from 2 species
CCUACGGGAGGCAGCAGUAGGGAAUCUUGCGCAAUGGGCGAAAGCCUGACGCAGCGACGCCGCGUGAGGGAAGAAGGCCUUCGGGUUGUAAACCUCUUUCAGGAGGGACGAAGCCACUCGGGUUAAUAGCCUAGAGGGUGACGGUACCUCCAGAAGAAGCCCCGGCUAACUACGUGCCAGCAGCCGCGGUAAU